rnacentral:rRNA from 1 species
AUGGACGAUAAAUCCCCUCACGGCUUCAGUGUCCUCAGUUCUUUCGUAUGCUUGCCCUUUGAUCAGGCUGGCUGUCAGAGGUAUACCAUGAUGUUCGAGGAAGAAUCCAUAUGGAAGUUUUGGAUAGGAUAUGACAACCGCUGUUACCUAAUGGACGGCGGCGCUGUGACGCUAUGCUACCAUGAAGCUAAAAGAUGGCAUGGAGGUUUACAAGAUGGACACUGA